UAGAAGACCUUUCGGCCGUUUUUUAUCAUCUACACACCCCAACCUAAGACCUUCAUCUUCUUCAACCUAACAUACCUUAGGACCCCUCAUCUCCUCCACACAAAAACAGCCGUCACUCUCAACCAGACCACCGGUCCACCACCAUAACUCCGGCAACCACACACGCACACAGCAACCCCCUCCAGCCGCCCACACCCCUCCAUCUUCAACCCAAAAAUGACGGAACCUUAAGAGAAAUUAGUGGCCGUCACUUCUCAAACUCGCUGGCACCCCCACACAAGAAUGUCAUCACCCCUCCACCGAAAUCGCCGGAACUCUAACACCCAUCGCUGUCCCCUUCUUCCCUUCACUACAACCUGCCGGAAAUACCCACACACGCAUUCACUCGAGAACAAUACCAAGAAAUAAACAUGUAGUUUCCCAAAAAAAGGGACAGUUCCUCGUCUUCAAUUUUCUCUUGGUUUAAGUUCCAGAAAUCAGAAAAGUAUAAAAAAUAGUUCUGUUUUUUUCUUGAUUUUCGAAUUGUAAUUCCUGAUUGCAAAAUAUGGAGAUCGUUUGAGGUUCUGUGUUGGAUUGUGAGUUCGAUUCCGUCCGCCGCUUAAGGUUCGUGGUUCCGAUUUGGUUCGCAGCUUCUUCCUCUUAGUUGCUGUCACGUCAAAAUUACAUUGAUGGAUCAUUCUAUAUUUGAUUCCUAGAAAAGUUAAUCAAAGGCUUUGUGCACUCAGGUCCAUUUCCCUCUUUAUUUGACUGUUUUGCUUCAUAGAGUGCUUCCAUUAAUCUGUCGUUUCUCUAUUUUGUGGAAUGUUUGGAUUAAUGUUUUAUUGCUGUGAUGAGGAUGUGUUAGUAUUUGCCAUCCUAUUUUAUAUAUAUUAUUAUUAGCUCAUACAAAGUUUUGUUGGUUUAAUGACUUGAAGAAUCUUUAAAAUACUUAAGGCUUCACUAUUAAUAUUUUGCUAUCAAUUGGCGUUAAGGUAUAAAUAUUAGUUCAGUCACAUAUAUAAUGGAAAUAAUUGAAUAGGAAUUAAUUGUGUCUCCUUCGUAAGUUCCAUAGAUUACUUUGUGGAAUUUAUAGUUAACUUUAGAGCUAAUAUGUUUGAGUUUCAGUGGUGUCAUAUUUCUCUUUAAUUGUCAUUAGUCAGAGUUAAAGUUUACUCAAAUCACUUGAUUGCAUUGAAGCUGAUUCUUUGUCUGUAAAUUUUUACAUUGAAUACAUUAGUGAGUGGAGGUUCGGCGUUGGAAUCAUAGGUUCCAUAAGAAAAUUACUAAAGUUGGGAUGUGGGAUACAGAGUUUAACUUAAACUAAGGAGAAAUUGAGAUUUAAAUGUUUCACCACUUUAGUUUAUUGUUAUACUUUGUAUUAGAACCCGUUAGGAGUAUAUUAGGCCAUCAUCAUUUGGGUAGACAAAUUUUUAGGGCGUUCGUGUUUUAGUUUCUUUUGAGGUGAGAGGUCACCCCCUUUAGUUAAAUUUAUUCGGGGAAUGCCCCCUAGAUUUUGUAUAUAUUUUUUAUCCGGAUUAUGCCCCAUAGUAUCAUGUAUUUGGAGGCCAUGACGAACUUUGUGGAAAAGUAUAGUAUAUAAUAGUAUUUAGGAUUUUACUUUAAUUUUCUUAUUUUUAAUUUCUUUCGUUUAGGUGGGGAUGACUUCGAGCCUCUUGUAUGUUUAUUUUCCUUUGUCUAUUUUUUUAACCUCAAUUUGAAUAUUUUAAAAGUCGACUAGAUCAAGUACGCAACCGUGACUUUUACGGGACUUGGGGAGUGCCUAACACCUUCUCUCCGAGUCAAAUGAACCCUCUUACCUGAAUCUCUGGUGCAGACUGAGUUUUGGAGUCUAAGGUGUUGUAAAAGGAAAAAAUAUUUCUAAAAACGGUUACCUGGCACACCGAAAUCAAUGUCAGGUGGCUACUUUGAGUUAAUUCUUUUGAACACAAAUUUUUAUCACUUUUUAUAAUUGAAACCCUUUUGAGCUUCACAAAAUCACUUUAUUUAUUUAAAAGGGGUAAUGUGGUGGAAAAAAAAGGUGUGAAAGCUCUGUCGACUCUGCUGGGGAGUUGCAGGUUCGAGCUGGUACUUGAUCUUGUUGGCUUCUAGGAUAUUCGGUUGAGCUUUAUAAAUUGUCAUCAUUUGCAUCACCAUGGGUCUUCUUUCCGCAACAAGUCUUCCGGAGUACAUUUGAGCGUACACGACUUUUUGUGAGUCACCCGUAUCAUUUGGUGGGUGGUGUGGGAGCGUGGAGUGGGCGGGCAGCUAGAGCAACCUCCAUCAACAACGUGCUGCCCCGAAUUGCCUUGUCUAGUGAACCCCAAACUUAGGUAUGGAUACAUUUAUCAGGGCUCGAGCAUGACAAGCACCCAGGACAACUGCAUUUAGGAGCUGCUUAAGGAGCCUUUUUAUGUUCUGAGUCUGUUUUUAUGUUGGUCUUUCACCUUGUAGUCUUGUCCAGUAGUAUUGUGUCUUUUAGGUGAUGUCAGAGUUUACCAUAGUCUAGUUGAGUUUGUUGAGUCUUUUGUUAUCGUACUUACUAUUUGUAUUUGAAAAACCAAAAAAAAUUAUAAAUGAAAAAUCCAAAAGGUUUUUGUUUGUA